rnacentral:misc_RNA from 1 species
AAUAUGUCUAAUGGCAAAAAAAGCGAUAUGAUAAUAUGCUUCAUUGUUACUUUCUCGAACAACAAGCUGCCAGUAUACAUUAGGUGAACAACUAUGAUUCAUAAAUCGAGCAAUAUUUCCACCAUUUUUGGAACUUAUUACAAGGGGAAAAGGGACUUUCCGAGACUCAUCAUUAUAAUCAUGCACGGCUUCUAGUGGCUCAUAUAUACGGGUUGCAUCAAAAAUAUAAUUGUCAUCCCUGUCAUAACCAAUGUCCCUGACCUCUCCAGCAUAUUCACAAAUAAAACAGCCUCCUCUUAUAGGAUCCCAAGACCUAAGUCCCCAACCUUUAUUUUUUGUUUUAAAGACCUCCAUACGAACUUUAGGACCUCCUUGAGACAUACGAUUUCGGCAAUUAGCAGGGCACGAACAAGCUGAACCACACUCAUGUAUCAAGUUUUUGUAAGUCAUGAGAACCCCAAGUGAAUUAUAAGGCAAAAGGCCUUGAUUCCUCUGAAUGCAAGGGCAAUUGGUAUCAUCUGGUUGGCAGCCACCGAUGCACUGACAACCCAGAGAGGGUCUAGGCGUUAAGAAAGGUUUUGAGUACUUCAGACUAGGAAUAUAUGUGAAAUAGGCAGGUCCUUUCUCAUCAUCCACAUCAUUUACAAGACAAACUGCCUGACUCUCAGCACCAGAUGUCAGGUCUGGUAAGAUGACUCCAACACGUGAUACCACACCAUCCCUCCAUUGUUGAAUUGACUUCCACACUUUAAAUGCUUCAGGCUGCCCAGGUACUCUCAGAAGUUUGUACUUGAAAACAUUGCAGCCCGUCUUGUUUUUCUCUUCCCAUGAUCCCUGAAUCUUAUAAAGUCCGUCAAAAAUAUAGAUCUUCCCAGUUGGAUUUGCAACAUCCUUAACACCCCUAAUCACUCUUACAUCAUUGGCACGAUGCACACUCUUUUCCAAAGCAAGAUUUCCCUUUUCAAGUUUCUGAUCAAACAUUUGCCCGUCCUUCCUCUGGACUCCACCUUGGCCAGUGUAAAUUAACAGGUCUCCAUCACCUCCAUCAUCGUCAUAUCCUCCAGCAGACACUAUGCUGACUGCAAGAGGUUCUUCAUCCUUCGUUAGUUUGAGA